rnacentral:rRNA from 1 species
UACAGAGGGGGCAAGCGUUAUUCGGAAUUAUUGGGCGUAAAGGGCGCGUAGGCGGCGAUUCAAGUGACGGGUGAAAUCCCUCGGCUUAACCGAGGAACUGCCUGUCAGACUGGAUUGCUUGAGGCCGGGAGAGGCGAGUGGAAUUCCCAGUGUAGCGGUGAAAUGCGUAGAUAUUGGGAGGAACACCAGUGGCGAAGGCGGCUCGCUGGACCGGUUCUGACGCUGAGGCGCGAAAGCGUGGGGAGCAAAAGGG